GGCCCUGUAGCUCAAUGGAUAGAGCAACUCCCUCCUAAGGAGUAGGUUGACGGUUCGAUUCCGCCUAGGGUCA
rnacentral:tRNA from 1 species